GCAGGGGUAUCCAAGCCUGGUCUAAGGAGCGGGGCUUAGGACCCCGUGGCGAAGGCCUUCGUGGGUUCAAAUCCCACCCCCUGCACCA
rnacentral:tRNA from 1 species